UAACGGAAAUGGUAAUCUAAUGUUUCCUUCUUUCAUAUCAAUAAUUGCAUCAAUCAUUCUAUAGCAAGAUCUAUCAAGAAUAAUAGGGCAUGAAGGAUUAUUACAAUCUAUAUCAAGCACAAUAAAAUCUACAGGCACAUAAUUCCUAUUUGCAACAAUAAGAACAUCAUUAAUCCUUUCCAUGGGUUUCCUAAUAGUAGAAUCCGCUAAGUGCAAAUUCAAAGAACAAUCAUCAAGUUUAUGGAAACCUAGCACAUCACAUAAAGAUUUUGGAAUCUAUCAUUCUUAAGUUGCUCCCCACUACUUCCUAUUCUCUCACCAUGCACACUGUCCACAUCAGCAACUAUGCCAUCUCAGCAAAAACUGGUCCCACGAGGCCAUGUCAUCACUUUCCUGGCCUUCCCAUGCACCAGCAGCUAGCGUAUGUUCCCUGCCACAGAUGCAGCCGUAAAUGAACUUGAAACCCACGUACAAAAUAUCGUUGCAUCUCCCAACUUUUCUCCCGAAGCGUUAGCCCUGUUCGGCCCCUUGGUCUUUCGCCUCUUCCUCCACCUUCCACCCAUGGUUCCCUUCAUCUCCCCCCAAUCAAUAAAUCUCUACUGCAGUCCUUCUAGUUCUUCCCUUCUUCCCUCUAUUUAUGGAUCCCUCCAUCUUGCUUUUGUUGCCGACCUAAACCGCAAGAUGCAGCAUGGUCGCCGGCAUGGAUAAGCUUGGCCCAAGCGUAGACCUCGCCCUUUACCCAACCUCCAUGAACCAUGCGUGCCACCCCUGGCGUCCUCCCCAGCAUCACAUGUGCACCAGAGAUGAGAAGGGCGAGAGCGACGGCUGCAAGAUUUACUUUCGCGGUGCUGAAGGAGAUCCAGAUCCCAAUCCAAGUAGUGCCUUAGUCGCCCAAGGUACGAGCAGGAAGAUGAGGUCGCCUCAUUGUUUCUUUGUCUAGAUCUCCACGUCCGUGUAGUUUUCCUGGAGGCCUGGAUAUUGCGUGAUGUGCAGGACAAUUAGUGAUGCAUAUGUGCUUUGCGUUCCUGGUGUGUGUGUAUAACUGCAUAUGCACAUUAUUUUUUUCAUUAUUUUGCGAUUUCUUUUCGAGACUUUAGUGAUUGGUUUGUGGCCUAAGCUUAUGUACAUAUUCUAAAGUGUAUGGAUGUGUUGCUGCCAGAUGUCUCUAUAUUUUGUGCUUUCGCUUU